UACGUAGGUGGCAAGCGUUAUCCGGAUUCACUGGGUGUAAAGGGAGCGUAGACGGCCAAGCAAGCCAGGGGUGAAAGCCCGGGGCCCAACCCCGGGACUGCCCUUGGAACUGCAUGGCUGGAGUGCGGGAGGGGCAGGCGGAAUGCGUGGUGUAGCGGUGAAAUGCAUAGAUAUCACGCAGAACUCCGAUUGCGAAGGCAGCAUACCGGCGCCCUACUGACGCUGAGGCACGAAAGCGUGGGUAUCGAACAGG
rnacentral:rRNA from 1 species